GAUGAAGAACGCAGCGAAAUGCGAUACGUAAUGUGAAUUGCAGAAUUCAGUGAAUCAUCGAGUCUUUGAACGCACAUUGCGCCCCCUGGUAUUCCGGGGGGCGUGCCUGUCCGAGCGUCAUUGCUGCCCUCAAGCACGGCUUGUGUGUUGGGCCUCCGUCCUCCUCCCGGGGGACGGGCCCGAAAGGCAGCGGCGGCACCGCGUCCGGUCCUCGAGCGUAUGGGGCUUCGUCACCCGCUCUUGUAGGCCCGGCCGGCGCUUGCCGACACAUCAAUCUUUUUUCCAGGUUGACCUCGGAUCAGGUAGGGAUACCCGCUGAACUUAAGCAUAUCAAUAAGCGGAGGA
rnacentral:misc_RNA from 1 species